GAGACUAUCUGUAACUCUGUCCAGCGCUACGCCUCAUGCAUAGCGGAAGUAGUCAAGGACCUAUACUGCUCAAGUUCACGGGAGGACCAGACAUCAAUCUUUUUCGGCGUUUCUUCUGGCCCUAUACCGAAACGCAAGUACAUAUCGUCAAGGAGUUAUGCCAGCAACCCGUGGUUCUCCGGGAAAGCUGUUGUGCCUCCGAAAACACAAACAGGGGAAUUGCUUUUAGCAUAUUUGCCAUCACUUCCUGAGAACCAGCUAGCACGAUCAGUUUUUUUCCUAACCACUCCGACUCAACAUUUUGUUCAUUCUCCUUUUUGCCCAAACCCUGCUCCAUGUACUAACACCCUGUGAGUUCUUUUAUCAGGAAUUGGAUAUUGCAUGCCACCCCUCGUCUAGUCAAAGUCACUGGCAUGAGAUCAUCCACCAGCUUGUUCGCAAUGGCAUGCUCGACCACGAGUUGGGUUCUAUACUUAUCCGUCGGCAAUCCCAGCUCGACGCGGAUGCAAGCCUAGGCACACCUCACCUCACACAUCGCCACCUACUGGAAUGCGACUUCUCGACGCUGGCUCUUGCUCACAAUGGAACUAUAUCAAGUUUCAUAGAUCCAAAAUCAGUUCAUCGGUCCCAACAUCACACAUGCAAUCGAGGCAUGCCAACUGUUCUACAUCCCUGCAAUACUCCAGGAGGGAUGGGCUCUGUACAUUUGGGACAUGUUGUCAAGGAUCAUUCACAUUAUCGACCCGGCUACUGGCCCAAGGGGAUGCAAUGCAGACCAGAAGGAUCGUCAUGAGCUCAUAGCGUCGCGGCUCCACGACGCCUUGUUUCUCCGCCUAAACGAUUAUUUUGCUGGUUGGCCCACACCUAAGGAAAACUGGACUACAAAAUACCCGCUACUAAUGCAAAAUCCAGUUACCAGGGAAGAAAGUGGGUUAUGCGUCAUGCAUAUCAUCAGGUACCACGACGGGGAAAAAGCCCGGAA